rnacentral:tRNA from 1 species
AAAGAAUUAGUUUAUACUUAAAAUAAUAGUAUGUCAUACUAAAGAAAUUAACAAUAUUAUCUUAAUAUUCUUUU